rnacentral:rRNA from 1 species
AAAUGAUCGUUGUGAAACGGCUGUCGCUGGUGUCUAAGUGUUGCUGAUACGGUUGUGAACGUCCGUGGCUGUAUAUGUGGUGACAUGUUAGGACUCUAAUGAGUUUAAGACCUAAUGAGCCUCUUAAGUGAGGCCGCCAGCAACCUUUUUUUUCUCUACAUUUUAAAAAAAAAACUAAAAUUCUACCCUUAUCGGUGGAUCACUAGGCUCGUGGAUCGAUGAAGAACGCAGCAAACUGCGAUAAUUAUUGCGAACUGCAGAAGUAUUGAGCACAAAAGUUUUGAACGCAAAUGGCCGCAUUGAGGUCAAACUCUUUGCAACGUCUGGUUCAGGGUCAUUUUCUCUUAUAGCGGAAGCUUUAAUUUCUAUAAUGAUGUUGUUGCUUUAUAUUUUAAAAGGAUUUUUGUUUAUUCAUGUAUUAAAUCUAACUGUGAAAAUCAAACAAUUUUGACCUGAACUCAGUCGAGAGCACCCGCUGAACUUAAGCAUAUCAGUAAGCGGAGGAAAAGAAACUAACCAGG